UACGUAGGGGGCAAGCGUUUUCCGGAUUUACUGGGUGUAAAGGGCGCGCAGGUGGGCUUGAUAGUUAGAGGUGAAAUCCUGUGGCUUAACUGCAGAACUGCCUUUAAUACUUCAAGUCUUGAGUGCGGAAGAGAGAGACGGAAUUCCAGGUGUAGUGGUGAAAUACGUAGAUAUCUGGAAGAACACCAGUUGCGAAGGCGGUCUCUUGGUCCGUAACUGACACUCAGGCGCGAAAGCGUGGGGAGCAAACAGG
rnacentral:rRNA from 1 species